AAUGCAAGUCUUCAAGCCUCAAGUCAAGGUUACUUAUCAGGGAGCUAACACAAGUCUUCAAGCCUCAAGUCAAGGUUACUUAUCAGGGAGCUAACACAAGUCUUCAAGCCUCAAGUCAAGGUUACUUAUCAGGGAGCUAAUGCAAGUCUUCAAGCCUCAAGUCAAGGUUACUUAUCAGGGAGCUAAUGCAAGUCUUCAAGCCUCAAGUCAAGGUUACUUAUCAGGGAGCUAAUGCAAGUCUUCAAGCCUCAAGUCAAGGUUACUUAUCAGGGAGCCAACACAAGUCUUCAAGCCUCAAGUCAAGGUUACUUAUCAGGGAGCCAACACAAGUCUUCAAGCCUCAAGUCAAGGUUACUUAUCAGGGAGCCAACACAAGUCUUCAAGCCUCAAGUCAAGGUUACUUAUCAGGGAGCCAACACAAGUCUUCAAGCCUCAAGUCAAGGUUACUUAUCAGGGAGCUAAUGCAAGUCUUCAAGCCUCAAGUCAAGGUUACUUAUCAGGGAGCUAACACAAGUCUUCAAGCCUCAAGUCAAGGUUACUUAUCAGGGAGCUAACACAAGUCUUCAAGCCUCAAGUCAAGGUUACUUAUCAGGGAGCUAACACAAGUCUUCAAGCCUCAAGUCAAGGUUACUUAUCAGGGAGCUAACACAAGUCUUCAAGCCUCAAGUCAAGGUUACUUAUCAUGCAAAUGCAGUUCAGCAGCAGACUUGUCAGACUUCCAAGUGUUUUACCAGGCAGUCUUUCACUGCUUACAACAAAGAACUACACAAAGCUGCUUUUUACUGCAAAAUAAGAGUCAGCCUCCAUGAUCAUUAGGAAACACAAAGCCUUGGUCCUGUUUUUACCAGCAGAAUCAGGGUGCAGCUGAAUGAUCAUUAGUUCAUACUGUAUUUCAGCUCCCAGCCGCUGGCUUUGAUCUUAAUGAAGCUAUAUGACCGUGACUCCUGGUACAUUUCACUCACGCGCCAUAUAAGUCUGCUUCAUUUGUAACUUAUACUCUAUGUCAGUAUGCAGACACCCCCUCACACACACAUGAACACACACACUCCUCCUCUCUGUCUAGGACCACCCUAUUGUCUCAGUUGAACAGGAGUCAGAAAUGAAACAGAAAACUUUGAUGUCUUUACUGCUGGUCUGAUCAAUCAAAUCUCUCCUAUAAAAUGUCAAUUGGUACCUGGCUCUUUCUUUUCUGAAACGGAGGAGGGAUAGAGAGGCUGAGACAGAAAGUGUCUCAGGCCAGACGUUUAAUAGUUUUAACUGUAAGACUCUAAAAGGGGUUCAGAGUUCAAAGUUGGCAGGUUUUAGUGUCCCCUUCACAGAAAGCACACUGAGGUGCCAAAAGUUUCAUUAUAACACACACACACACACACACACCCCUUCAGCUUUACAGACUAGUAAAGACAUUUAGGAAUCAUUAGUGCACACAGCUUCAAACAGGCUAAGGGUCUGGGUCUGGCAUGGAUGUGGUUUG